rnacentral:misc_RNA from 1 species
UUUCCGUAGGUGAACCUGCGGAAGGAUCAUCAACGAGUAAGGGUCAUUCUGGCCCAACCUCCAACCGUUCGCUUAAAUACUAUGUUGCUUUGGCGGGCCCGUUUCACGACCGCCGGAAUUCCUCGGACUUCUCACCCGUGCCCGCCAAUAGCCUUCUACAAACUCUUGAUCAAUCGUGAUGUCUGGGUAAUAAAUUUAAUAGUUAAAACUCUCAACAACGGAUCUCUUGGUUCUG